rnacentral:rRNA from 1 species
AUUGUUCGCAAUGGGCGCAAGCCUGACGACGCAACGCCGCGUGGGGGAUGAAGGUCUUCGGAUUGUAAACCCCUGUUGGGUGGGACGAACACUUCCAUGGUGAAUAGCCAUGGAGACUGACGGUACCAUAAGAAUAAGCACCGGCGAACUCCGUGCCAGCAGCCGCGGUAAUACGGAGGGUGCAAGCGUUAUCCGGAUUCACUGGGUUUAAAGGGUGCGUAGGAGGGCAGGUAAGUCAGUGGUGAAAUCUCCGAGCUUAACUUGGAAACUGCCGUUGAUACUAUCUGUCUUGAAUAUUGUGGAGGUGAGCGGAAUAUGUCAUGUAGCGGUGAAAUGCUUAGAUAUGACAUAGAACACCAAUUGCGAAGGCAGCUCGCUACACAUAUAUUGACUCUGAGGCACGAAAGCGUGGGGAUCAAAC